GUCAACGAUAAUUGUACGAAUUUAUGAAAUUAUUUCAUUGUCUUUUCUCCAAAAUAUUUGUGCCAAAAUCCAAAUUAAUUAAUUAAUUAUUGAAGUGCUUCAAGAUUCUGUAUAUACACGUGUAAUUUAUGGUAAUCCUUAAAAUUUGAUCAGCAUAAUCAAAUAAAUUUAUGAAAUUAUUGUUUUGUUAUCGGUCUAUGAUAGGUGUGCUAAGUUUCAACUCAAUCCGACUUUUUGAAAUAGUGCGUUCAGCAGUUAUCUAAAACGCCAUCUCCAUACUAUAGGCAUCACUAACGAUCCGGAAUGCCACUGGUGGAUGGAGGACAAAAAAUACAAAUCAUGUCAUCGGUGAGUGCCCACCACUGACCCGUGCUAGCUUCAAACACUUAGAAAAGCCUUACAGCUUGCCCAGUGAUUUUAAAAGAUUUAAACUGAUAAACUGAUAAUCUUUUCAAAAGACAUUGGAUUUUGAUAGUUUCAAGUGUCCAGUACGAGUCUAUCACAAGUCUAUGUGCGCAACGGACCCCGACCACCCACUUACCUACCUAUCAUCUAUGAAUAGUGAGAAACCUUCAGAGAAUAUGACUAUUUAUUGAUUGAAGUUUUCGUGA